UUGACUCUCGCAUUGGGCUCGAUGCUUCAGAGGAACGUCCUUUCCUCUCUCUCCGUCGAUCGCCUCUCUCAAUCAUCAUCUCUUCCUUUUUCUUUCUUCAGAAAGCCCUCAUCUUCUCUUCGUUUUCAUCUUUUCUUUACCUUUAUCUUCUAAUCUAAUCAAACCCUGAAGAAAUGAUGAAGAGAAAAAAAUGGUUCCAUAUUUUGCUUGGAGGUGCAAAAAAAAUGGAACUGUCUUUUAGCAUCCAGCAUCGCGAUGAAAGAACAUUGGCAACCAAAUAUGAGAAACUUGGCGGUAAAGUGAAAUGGAUGGGCAAGCCUGAUAAGAUCAUCUAUAAAGCAGCUGCGGAAAUGGCUGCUAUAGAUCCUUCACAGUGUGUUGCCAUUGGAGAUUCUCUGUACCAUGACAUAAAAGGUGCAAAUGCCACUGGUAUCUCAUCAGCAUUUAUCACUGGUGGGAUCCAUGCGACUGAACUUGGACUUGAUACCUUCGGAGAAAUUGCUGAUGAUUCUUCUGUGGUUGCUCUUGCCUUAAGACAUGAUGCUUAUCCAUCAUAUGUGUUGCCUUCAUUCAAUUGGUAGUCUGAUGGUUUGAGAAUAGAGGUUCUACUGAUGCCAUUGCUAAUGUUCCAUUUUCUAUAGCACCCUUUGUAGCUACGGCGCCAGCUUUUAAGUUACCGUUCAAGGAGCCAUCAUCGUGCUUUUCAUCUUUGUUUUGUUGUGAUCAGUUGUCUCAACUACAGCAAUGUUUGGAGGGAAAGGAUACAAUAGAGAAAAAUGAAAGCUUCCCAGAAUAUCAUACCCAAGGGUACUUCUUCAAACACUGCAUUUGGUAAACCUCUCUUCUGCACUCCUUCGAGAAGUAAUAGCUGGUGUUAACAGCUUGUUUUCUUCAACAUGUAUAUAAAAGGGGGAAUGCAAUGCCUCAAGAGGGUGCUUGUGUUGCUGACGCCGCAACAUGUGAUUGGUUGGAGAGUGUUCGUCCAAGCCUUUCUUAGGUUCCCAUUUCAUUUACUUUUUCAUUCUUUUUAAACGCAGAUGUGAUUGAUUGAAGAAGGUCACUUGCUCUCCCAUUUCUUUUCCUUGUUCAUCGCCAUUCUCCUCUCUCUCUAAGCCCAUCUCUCUGUUUUCUUCUUCAUUUUCCUAAAUGCCCCCAAAGCCCUUCUAUCUCUUUUCUUCUCCAUAACCGGCAACAUCAGGACCAAAACAGAUGGUGAAAAUUUUCGAAUCUUUUCCAGCAUUCUUGUGAGACUCUGAG